CCGUCCGCGGGAAUUAGAUUCAGGCCUAACACAUGCACGUCGAUCGGUAGCACAGGGAGCUUGCUUCUGGGUGGCGAGCGGCGGACGGGUGAGUAAUGUCUGGGAAACUGCAUGAUGGAGGGGGAUAUCUCCUGGAAACAAUAGCUAAUCCCGCAUACCGUCCCAAGACCAAAGAGGGGGACCUUGGGCCCUCUUGCCAUCAGAUGUGCCCAGAUGGGAUUAGCUAUUAGGUGGGGUAAGGGCUCACGUAGGCGCUGAUCCCUAGCUGGUCUGAGAGGAUGACCAGCCACACUGGACAUGAGACACGGUCCAGACUCCUACGGGAGGCAGCAGUGGGGAAUAUUGCACAAUGGGCGCAAGCCUGAUGCAGCCAAGGGGCGUGUAUGAAGAA
rnacentral:rRNA from 1 species